AAGAAGACUCUCGGCAACGGAUAUCUUGGCUCUCGCAUCGAUGAAGAACGUAGCGAAAUGCGAUACGUGGUGUGAAUUGCAGAAUCCCGUGAACCAUCGAGUCUUUGAACGCAAGUUGCGCCUGAGGGACCUGCCCGAGGGCACACCUGCCUCAUGGGCGUUAGAA
rnacentral:rRNA from 1 species